AUUGAACGCUGGCGGCAGGCUUAACACAUGCAAGUCGAGCGAGCGGCGGACGGGUGAGUAAUGUCUGGGAAACUGCCUGAUGGAGGGGGAUAACUACUGGAAACGGACGCUAAUACCGCAUACCAUCAGAUGUGCCCAGAUGGGAGUGGCUAGUAGGUGGGGUAAUGGCUCACCUAGGCGACGAUCCCUAGAUGGUCUGAGAGGAUGACCAGCAACCUUGGAACUGAGACACGGUCCAGACUCCUACGGUAGGCAGCAGUGGGGAAUAUGGCACAAUGGGCGCAAGCCUGAUGCAGCCAUGCCGCGUGUGGGAAGAAGGCCUUCGGGUUGUAAAGCACUUUCAGCGAGGAGGCGUUACUCGCAGAAGAAGCACCGGCUAACUCCGUGCCAGCCGCCGCGGUAAUAC
rnacentral:rRNA from 1 species